rnacentral:rRNA from 1 species
UACGAAGGGGGCUAGCGUUGUUCGGAAUUACUGGGCGUAAAGCGCGUGUAGGCGGGUCUUUAAGUCAGGGGUGAAAUGCCAAGGCUCAACCUUGGAACUGCCUUUGAUACUGGAGACCUUUGAGUCCGGGAGAGGUGAGUGGAAUUGCGAGUGUAGAGGUGAAAUUCGUAGAUAUUCGCAAGAACACCAGUGGCGAAGGCGGCUCACUGGCCCGGUACUGACGCUGAGGUGCGAAAGCGUGGGGAGCAACAGG